rnacentral:tRNA from 1 species
UCCCUGAUGGUCCAGUGGCUGAGACGCUCUGCUCCCAAUGCAGAGGGCCUGGGUUCAAUCCCUGGUUGGGGAA